rnacentral:rRNA from 1 species
AUUGAACGCUGGCGGCAUGCUUUACACAUGCAAGUCGAACGGUAACAGGCCUUCGGGUGCUGACGAGUGGCGAACGGGUGAGUAAUGCAUCGGAACGUACCCAGAGGUGGGGGAUAACGCAGCGAAAGCUGUGCUAUUACCGCAUGUGAUCUGAGGAUGAAAGCGGGGGACCGAGCAGCAAUGUUUGGCCUCGCGCCUUUGGAGCGGCCGAUGUCGGAUUAGCUAGUUGGUGGGGUAAAGGCCUACCAAGGCGACGAUCCGUAGCUGGUCUGAGAGGACGACCAGCCACACUGGGACUGAGACACGGCCCAGACUCCUACGGGAGGCAGCAGUGGGGAAUUUUGGACAAUGGGCGCAAGCCUGAUCCAGCAAUGCCGCGUGCGGGAAGAAGGCCUUCGGGUUGUAAACCGCUUUUGGCAGGAACGAAACGGUGUCCGCUAAUACCGGGCGCUAAUGACGGUACCUGCAGAAUAAGCACCGGCUAACUACGUG